rnacentral:misc_RNA from 1 species
GCUAUCAACUCAGAGAGAUCGAAGAAGAGGUCGUGUUGGGGUGUGGAGGCCACACUUAGAAAGCAUAUCUGAGACGCCAAAUGAUUCUUGAUGGAGAUUCUUGAUGAGUUUGUAAUAAGCUAUGAUUUUUCUUUCUUUGUGAUUCAUUUCCAUUAGGGUUCAAGAACUGUUUAUUAUAUUCAUUUGCCUUUUCUUUCCGUGCCCUUCUCUUUCUCUUUCAAUUUUAUCUCUUUCAAUUUCCCCUUUUAGUGUACAUAGAGGCAUAGAGGGGAAAAAAAAUUCAAAAGACGGGUUAAGGUUUGGAAAUUGAUGGUGGUGGUGAUGAUGAUCAUGAAACUAAACAGUUGUGGUUGGAUCUUGCUACUGCACAUAUGAUCAAGGCCAUAAGUAAUUAUUUUGAGAGCUUCAUUCAAGUGUGCCUUUUAAUUAGUGCAGAAAUUCAUGAAGAAAGCAAUAUGAUUUUUGUAAUAAUAAUUACAAAUGUUCUUAAUUUAUUUGCAAUAAUUAAGGAAGAUAUAAUGUUACUGAGAGGGAUCCCACUACUACUGUACGCAGUACCAAGC